rnacentral:rRNA from 1 species
GAUGGACGCUGGCGGCGUGCCUAACACAUGCAAGUCGAGCGAACCCUUCGGGGUGAGCGGCGGACGGGUGAGUAACGCGUGGGUAACCUGCCCUAUACACACGGAUAACGUACCGAAAGGUACGCUAAUACGGGAUAAAGUUGUUGGAUGGCAUCUUCUAACAAUCAAAGCUCCGGCGGUAUAGGAUGGACCCGCGUCUGAUUAGCUAGUUGGUGAGGUAAUGGCUCACCAAGGCGACGAUCAGUAGCCGACCUGAGAGGGUGAUCGGCCACACUGGAACUGAGACACGGUCCAGACUCCUACGGGAGGCAGCAGUGGGGAAUAUUGCACAAUGGGCGAAAGCCUGAUGCAGCAACGCCGCGUGAGCGAUGAGGGUCUUCGGAUCGUAAAGCUCUGUCCUCAAGGAAGAUAAUGACGGUACUUGAGGAGGAAGCCCCGGCUAACUACGUGCCAGCCGCCGCUGUAA